AGUGAACGCUGGCGGCAGGCCUAACACAUGCAAGUCGAACGGCCGCACAGUAAGAGCUCGUUCUUACGGGUGGCGAGUGGCGGACGAGUAAGGCGUACAUCGGCAUCUUCUUUUACGUGGGGGACAACGGAGGGCCAUAUCCGCUAAUAGCGCAUACGUUCUACGGGUGGGAUCAGGAGUUCUUCGGGCCUUUCGCGAUUGUAUGAGCCGACGCCGGACUAGCUAGUUGGGGAGGUAAGGGCACACCAAGGCAACGAUCCGUAGCCGGCCUGAGAGGGUGAUCAGCCACACUGGAACUGAGACACGGUCCAGACUCCUACGGGAGGCAGCAGUGGGGAAUAUUGCACAAUGGGCGAAAGCCUGAUCCAGCCAUACCGCGUGAGUGAAGAAGGCCUUCGGGUCGUAAAGCCCUGUUAUUCGGAAAGAAAAGCAGCAUGUGUAUAUCCCGAUGUUCUGACGGUACCCAAAGAAUAAGCACCGGCUAACUUCGUG
rnacentral:rRNA from 1 species